UACAGAGGUCCCAAGCGUUGUUCGGAUUCACUGGGCGUAAAGGGUGCGUAGGUGGUGGGGUAAGUCGGAUGUGAAAUCUCCGAGCUCAACUCGGAAAUGGCAUUGGAAACUACCCUGCUAGAGGGUCGGAGGGGGGACUGGAAUACUUGGUGUAGCAGUGAAAUGCGUAGAUAUCAAGUGGAACACCAGUGGCGAAGGCGAGUCCCUGGACGACUCCUGACACUGAGGCACGAAAGCUAGGGGAGCAAACGGG
rnacentral:rRNA from 1 species